rnacentral:snoRNA from 1 species
CAAGGCAAAUGAUGCGAAAAAUUCUUAUCCUACACACUGAAAUAAAUGUAGACCUAGAACUCCGCUUAUUAUCUGAUGCCGUU